CCUUUCUAUGGAUGAUCAAGAAUGGGCUUAGGCCUUUUUUGAUCUGAUUAGACAUUGACGGUUUAAAGGUUUAUUUAAACCGUUCACAAAUUUAAACAUCCCAUGAACCGUGGGUCUUAAAUGGAAAACUCUGUCCCCUUUGUAUAGAGUGUGACUGUUUUCUAUCCAUGGUUCAUCUGUUUAAAAACUUGUAAAAAGACUAGCCGCCUUCAUUUCUCUUU
rnacentral:misc_RNA from 1 species